UUAAGCUACAAAGGGCGUAGGGUGAAUGCCUUGGCAUCAAGAGCCGAUGAAGGACGUGAUAAGCUGCGAUAAGCUAUGGGUAGGAGCAAAUAUCCACUAAUCCAUAGAUCUCCGAAUGAGGAAACUCAACUAGUAACAAUAUACUAGUUAUCCAUACAUGAGUAAAGUAGUGUAUGAGAAGGGAACGUGGGGAACUGAAACAUCUUAGUACCCACAGGAAAAGAAAGAAAUUAUUCGAUUCCUAGAGUAGUGGCGAGCGAAAUAGGAAGAGCCCAAACUGUAAGUAGUAAUACAUACAGGGUUCGGACUGCAUAAUCGAUUUAAUGAGUUUAGUAGAAGUGUUUUGGAAAAGCACACCAUAGAUGGUGAAAGUCCAGUAUGCGAAAAGCGAGUUAACGAGGCAGUAUCCAGAGUAGCACGAGGCACGUGGAAUCUCGUGUGAAUGUGUGGGGACCAUCCCAUAAGGCUAAAUACUACUUGAUGACCGAUAGUGAACGAGUACCGUGAGGGAAAGGUGAAAAGAACCCCGGGAGGGGAGUGAAAUAGAAUUUGAAACCCUAUGUUUACAAGCAGACAAAGCACGUUAAGGUGCGAUGUCGUACUUUUUGUAGAACGGUCCAGCGAGUUAUUGUAUAUGGCAAGGUUAAAUACUAAGUAAGGUAUGGAGCCGAAGCGAAAGCGAGUGUUAAUAGCGCGUUUAAGUCAUAUGUAAUAGACCCGAAACCGAGUGACCUAUCCAUGGUCAGGAUGAAGCUAGAGUAAAAUCUAGUGGAGGUCCGAACUGAUUGUCGUUAAAAAGGCACCGGAUGAACUGUGGAUAGCGGAGAAAUUCCAAUCGAACUCGGAGAUAGCUGGUUCUCCUCGAAAUAGCUUUAGGGCUAGCCUUGAGGUAAAGACGUAUGGGGGUAGAGCACUGAAUGAGCUAGGGGCCUAACCAGGUUACUGAACUCUAUCAAACUACGAAUACCAUAUUGUUAUACUCAGGAGUCAGACUGCGGGAGCUAAGUUCCGUGGUCAAAAGGGAAAGAGCCCAGAUCGUCAAUUAAGGUCCCAAAGAUAUAGCUAAGUGGAAAACGAUGUGAUUUUGCGUAAACAACCAGGAUGUUGGCUCAGAAGCAGCCACUCAUUCAAAGAGUGCGUAACAGCUCACUGGUCGAGUGAAAUUGCGCGGAAAAUUACCGGGGCUAAGCUAUACACCGAAAUUGCGGAUUCAAGGAUUUAUCCUUGAGUGGUAGAGGAGCAUUCUGUUGUAGGUUGAAGUAUGACCGUAAGGACAUGUGGACGAAGCAGAAGAGAGAAUGCUGGAAUAAGUAGCGAGAGCAAGGUGAGAAUCCUUGCCGUCGAAAGUCUAAGGUUUCCUGGGGAAGGUUCGUCCGCCCAGGGUUAGUCGGGACCUAAGGAGAGGCCGAGAGGCGUAUCUGAUGGACAGCAGGUUGAUAUUCCUGCACUAUAGAUAUACUUAAAAGAUGCAAGGGACGCAGAAGUGGAAGGAAUGCGAGGAAGAGGAAAAACUCGUAUCGAAAGAUAUAGUGAAAAUAAAGUAACGAAUUUCCAAGAAGCACGCUGACGAGAAAAGCUUGUAGAUAUUGUAUAUAAAUACCCGUACCGCAAACCGACACAGGUAGAUGAGGAGAGGAUCCUAAGACGAGCGGGAGAAGCAUUGUUAAGGAACUCGGCAAAUUGACCCCGUAACUUCGGAAUAAGGGGUGCCUAUGUAAAAGUAGGCCGCAGAGAAUAGGCCCAAGCAACUGUUUAACAAAAACACAGGUUUCUGCUAAAUCGAAAGAUGAAGUAUAGGAGCUGACGCCUGCCCAGUGCUGGAAGGUUAAGGGGAAGAGUUAAGACUUGAUCUGAAGCUUAGAACCAAAGCCCCAGUGAACGGCGGCCGUAACUAUAACGGUCCUAAGGUAGCGAAAUUCCUUGUCAGGUAAGUUCUGACCCGC
rnacentral:rRNA from 1 species